rfam:Pelecanus crispus contig108742, whole genome shotgun sequence.
CCAAAGGCUCUUUUAAGAGCCCCCAUGUCUUCCUAAAAAGAGCUGU